rnacentral:rRNA from 1 species
UUAGAUACCCUAUUAUUCCUAAACCAAAAAAACCUUAAGAAAUAACUGUUAUACGCACUAAACCUAAAGGAUUUGGCGGUGUUUUAUCUAACCAGAGGAACCCGUUCUUUAAUCGUCACUACACGAAAAUCUUACCCAAGACAAGUUCAUAUACCGUCAUUUUAACCACGUUAAAAGACUACAUUUUUAAAGGCUACUAGUAAAUUAGAUAAGGUGUGGCAUUCUUGGGGUAGGAUAGGUUACAUUUUAUAAACAAGUGGAAUUUUUAUGAAAAAAAGAAGAAAAAGGAUUUGUCAGUAAUU